rnacentral:tRNA from 1 species
UGAGGUAUAGCUCAGUAGCAGAGUGCAUGCUUAGCACUCAUGAGGUUCUAGGUUCAAUCCCUACUACCUCCA